GACGAACGCUGGCGGCGUGCCUAAUACAUGCAAGUAGAACGCUGAAGGAGGAGCUUGCUUCUCCGGAUGAGUUGCGAACGGGUGAGUAACGCGUAGGUAACCUGCCUGGUAGCGGGGGAUAACUAUUGGAAACGAUAGCUAAUACCGCAUAAGAGUAGAUGUCGCAUGACAUUUGCUUAAAAGGUGCAAUUGCAUCACUACCAGAUGGACCUGCGUUGUAUUAGCUAGUUGGUGAGGUAACGGCUCACCAAGGCAACGAUACAUAGCCGACCUGAGAGGGUGAUCGGCCACACUGGGACUGAGACACGGCCCAGACUCCUACGGGAGGCAGCAGUAGGGAAUCUUCGGCAAUGGACGGAAGUCUGACCGAGCAACGCCCGCGUGAGUGAAAGAAAGGGUUUUUCGGAUCGUAAAAGCUUCUGUUGUAAAGAGAAAGAAACG
rnacentral:rRNA from 1 species